rnacentral:rRNA from 1 species
CAGCCGCCGCGGUAAUACGUAGGUGGCGAGCGUUGCCCGGAAUUAUUGGGCGUAAAGGGCUCGCAGGCGGUUUCUUAAGUCUGAUGUGAAAGCCCCCGGCUCAACCGGGGAGGGUCAUUGGAAACUGGGAAACUUGAGUGCAGAAGAGGAGAGUGGAGUUCCACGUGUAGCGGUGAAAUGCGUAGAGAUGUGGAGGAACACCAGUGGCGAAGGCGACUCUCUGGUCUGUAACUGACGCUGAGGAGCGAAAGCGUGGGGAGCGAACAGGAUUAGAUACCCCAGUAGUCCCUGUCUCUUAUAA